AUUGAACGCUGGCGGCAGGCCUAACACAUGCAAGUCGAACGAGUGGCGGACGCGUGAGUAAUGUUUGGGAAACUGCCUGAUGGAUGGGAAUAACUACUGGAAACGGUAGCUAAUACCUCAUACCCUCGUUUGUGCUCUGAUGGGAUUAGCUAGGAGGUGGGGUAAAGGCUCACCUGUGCGACGAUCCCUAGCUGUUCUGAGAGGAUGACCAGCAACACUGGAACUAGGAAACGGUCCAGACUCCUACGGGAGGCAGCAGUGGGUAAUAUUGCACAAUGGGCGCAAGCCUGAUGCAGCCAUGCCGCGGGUAUGAAGAAGGCCUUCGGGUGGUAAAGUACUUUCAGCGGGGAGGCGUUACCCACAGAAGAAGCACCGGCUAACUCCGUGCCAGCAGCCGCGGUAAUUC
rnacentral:rRNA from 1 species